CCUGCCAAACAUGAACCAUGAGCUCGGGUUCCUUCCCAGAAACCUGCCUAGGUUCCUUGCGAAAACAAUUAUGCUUUUCUUAUAUUUUGUGAACAGCCAAUUUAGCCUUGUGCGGCACAGAAAAAUGGCAGGUACAUUCCACCUGGUGUCCCGACUUAGAAGGAAAGGAGUCCUUGAACAUCAGCUUAAAUCCCUCUGGAGCGUAGUGAAGGGGACCUCGGAAGGGCUGUGGCUCUGACUCUGGAUAUCUGGCGUGGAGCAAGUUAUGCAAUGUACUGCUGUGACAUCUGGAGAUUAAUUUUUGGCUCAUUUCUUGGGACCGUAGUUAACAUCCACAUGGGGAAUUUUUGUUUUUAAGAACAAGAAGUACUAUUCUAAUUUCAA